AGAGACCCAACAAGGACAAGCGACUGACCAGCUAGAUCUUGAAGGUCCAUCAACACCAUCAUAGCCACCUGCUUGAGAGCCACUCAGGAGCAGCAGGACCAACCCCCAUCAGUCUCAGGGAGGGGCCCAUUGGGUACCAUGGCUCAAACUCAGCUCAUUCGGCAUGGAAGCAAGCAAAGUUACCCACUGAGCCUUCACGUAGCAUUCUUACACUGGUGGGACUCUCUUCGAAAAGACACAAAUGCCUCAGAGAGAGCAGAGCAGGCAGACUGAAGCUCUGUCAGCAAAUAAAAUCGAAUCAGCCUGACUUGUGAUAUUUACUGGCUUGCAGCAACCCGACCGCAGGUAUGGAUCUUGGCUACCAGUGCUUGGUCUAAGGACCGCUUUGCUGUGUGGCGUUCUUGUGGCUCUGGCUAACUGGUACCCAGGAGACGGUCCAGCACAUCUCCAAGAGGACAUCCAAAUGGCCUACCGCCAAAACACCAAGAGGCAGUCACUUUAUUAGUGUUGCGGGGUUCAAAUUCAAAGCUAAAGCAACACAACCUCCCCUGCCCCACAUGGCUCAGAGGAAAACAGAACGUGUAAGGGCCGCGGAGUGCAUGGAGUCACCACGGAGAGUAUGGGGUCACUGGGAGCUGUAAUGAGGAUUGAAACAGUGCUGAAAGAUGGAUGAGCCUUAUCUCCUGCUAGUCCUGGGACCUCCUAUGUACGAUUGUGUGUAAUGUUGGGGACCACAGUAGAAGAUCACCCUCUGGGUUUUCUAUGAAGAAACACAGCAGGGUGAGCGUGGCUGGAAAGCAGCCACCCUCUUGUACCCAGCGCCUUUGGCCAGGGACCUGAGUCGGUGUGAGGAGAGAUGUGUUGUGUUCAUAGAAAGCACAGGUUCUCAGGAGCCCUCAAGAUGCUUGCCGACCGGAUUGCUUGCAAUGGACUUACCAGCCUACAGAAUUCAUAAAAUAGUUUCACAUUCCUGUCAAAACCCCAGGACCUAACCAAAGGUCAGGCACACAAGAAGUAGUUAAUAAGUGCAGGAGAAUAAACAGUAGAGUCAGAAUAAUGUUUAAUUCCCUGGAAGGCUGGCUGGUUUCUGGACUGGGGACCUCGUGCUACCUGCUCUAACCUUACCCUGCCAUCUGCUGGACAUGUCAGGAAUUGCAACGUGGCAAGUAGAUGGUUUGUAGCUGUGCUCACAGGAUGCUCACAGGAUAUUAUAGCAGAUGUGAGACAUCAUCUGACACACAGCGAAGGCCUGGAAAAGAUCUGAAUAUGAUUUGAAGCUCCCUGGGGGCAGCCUCCACCUGCUCUUGUUCAUUCAGGACCUGCCCUGGCUGGAAGUUUUCAGAGGGGCUUAUGAUGGCCUUACAUUCUUCCUAGUUUUCCUCCAUUUAAAAUAAAGACAGGGCAAAGAGAAAAGAUCUCCAA
rnacentral:lncRNA from 1 species